GUGCUCUCUUAGGCAGCACCUACACUAAAAUUGGGACGAUACAUAGAAGGUGGGCAUGGCCUCUACAGAAGUACGACACAAAACGGUGUGCAGUGUUUCGUUUUUUU
ensembl:snRNA U6 U6 spliceosomal RNA